GACAAUGUGUGAAUGUGAUGUGCCCAUGUGAAAAUACUGUAGUAACAAUUAGUAGUUGUCAUUUCAGAUGGAUCGACUUGUCCCGAUCCUGGCCAACCCAGCAAUGGGUACCGAGUUGGUGACAUAUUCGAGCCUGGAUCAUCAGUCAGUUUCAAGUGCGAUGACGGUUACUACUUGGUAGGAAACACGCCUCUCUAUUGUUUAGCAACAGCGACAUGGCAUAAGGAUACACCAGUGUGCCAAGCAAACCAGGCAUCAGGCUAUAGUUCAGGUACUGUAGCCACGGCGGCUAUCGUUCCAGUCGUUAUUAUUGGUGUUUGUAUACUUAUCGUUGCAUCCUUACUUCACCGUCACAGAAUUAAAAAUCAAUGGCGACGGGCUGUUGAAAAACAUAAACAUCACGAACAGACAUCCGGGUCCCGUCUAAGCAGCAUCAGCGGAUUUUCAUUCCGCUACAGUCAUAGGCCUACAACAGGUGACGACAGCCCUGAGAAAAAUUACGGCACAAUUUCCAUCGGUUCGGAAGAGAACCUUUGAUUUGAAUCGGAAGAGAAUAUUUAAUAUACGUCAGCAACGUAAUAUUGCUGGGGAGAUAAUAAACAUAAUCAACAUAGGCCUAGCAAUACACUGUAUAAAUAUUUGUUGCUAAUUUUCAAUUGAAUAUUAGGAAGUGAACAUAAUUUCUUUUAAAAUAAAGCCAGCGUUUUCCAUACAAUUGCUACACAUUAUUGCCGACAGCUGAUUGGUCGGUCAAAUAAGGGAGCCCUCCCAAUUGCGUCGGGGACUAAUAUAUAUAUAUAUAUA